UACAGAGGUCCCGAGCGUUGUUCGGAUUCAUUGGGCGUAAAGGGUGCGUAGGCGGCCCUGUAAGUCCGUUGUGAAAGUCAAAGGCUCAACCUUUGAAAGCCGAUGGAUACUGCAGGGCUAGAGUCCGGAAGAGGCGAGUGGAAUUCCUGGUGUAGCGGUGGAAUGCGCAGAUAUCAGGAGGAACACCAAUAGCGAAGGCAGCUCGCUGGGACGGUACUGACGCUAAGGCGCGAAAGCGUGGGGAGCGAACAGG
rnacentral:rRNA from 1 species